CCCGGCCCCGCGCCGCGGAGGCGGCCUGCCUUACCCACAAGGCCCCGCUGCCAGCGGCGGCGCAUAGCUCGGCGCUCACUCACCGCCUAACUAUAAACCUGAGCUCAGCGCCCUGCGGCUCGGAGGGGGGGCCGGGGCCAGGAGUACCAAGGUGACCUCCCGGCUUCCAGAGGACAUGCAGUGAAGACUGAGAGCAUCCAUAAGCCCCGGGGCAGCAUCUUCCAAGACAGCAGAGAGCUUUCCGGUGCUCUCUUCAGAGAGGGUGCUCUCCUGGGGCACCUGGGAGGUCCUGGCACCCACCGCAAUUGCUUCAUGAGGCACAGCAAGAAGUCCAAGGACUGCCUUUGUUGGUGCUGGGGUUCCUGGGACAAGCAUCCUGUGGAGGGCCCUGGGGAAGCUUGUACACUCCUAGGAGUCACUGCAGAGCAGAACUGACUGUAGUUUGCGAGGGAGAUCAAGGCAGUCGCCCCCUCUUUGCAAAUGGGCACAGCAUGGAGGAAUGAUAUGCUCAGGGGCAGCAAGCUGCCUGAGGGCAGGGUGAUGUGGUGUUGAAAGGAUAUAUGGGUUUACAUGUAAGUAAAACUGUCCUUAGAGGACAGCCCACACUGAGAUUCUCUCUGUAUGGGAACAGAAACCCUAGAUCUCAUCCUUCUGAUAAUCAGAGUUCUGCAUCUCAGUAAUUCAUCUGUACUACCAGCGUUACCAUUGCGAAUCCGUUAUUGCUUUUAAAUCGAGAAUUACCUAUACAAAAUAUGGAAGUGUAACAAUUCAGCUCCAGGUAUAAUUAAUUCAGCUUACUCUUGCCCAUUUCAAAGCAGCCUUUUGCUGCCAAUAAAGCACAUGGCUGAAUGACUAUUUCUAGUUGAACCUCACUUUUGCUAAACUGAUCAGAAGCAAUUAAUUGAAUGAACAGACACCAUCCUGAUGAGGUUUUGAUUCCAAAGGUGAUAAAAAACUUUUUAGUGGUGUUUGGGAGAUUCUUUUUUCCCCUUACAGCCGUAUCAUUUUCUUUCCAACUGAUAAAUGCCGUUUUGAAGAAUUCCCUCUUUACCCCCCAAAAAUAGCUCCCUCUUGUCAAUUUAAGAAAUGAUUCAUUGGCAUAAAGCUAGCAGAGGGAGCAUAAAUGCCUGGGAAGUUUUCAGACAACAUCUAUAUAAACAAUUAUUGUUGUCUUGUUUUCAUUUCUAGGCAACAGAUCCUCAGAGACAUACACAGCACACAGACAAUAUCUGGAGAGCCUUCCAACCCCUUUUCUCCAGAUUGCAAGUCUAUAUUUUCUCCAUGUAUAAAGCAACAGAACUUAAUGAUUGGGAAUAAAAGAUAUUUUCAUUUGGAAGAUACUUGUUUUUAAAACUCUAAGGAGUGAUCCUCUAAUGUCACAAAUUUAACUCCUUUUUGAAAAGAAGUAAGAUUCCUGCGCUUCAAUCUGCAGUAGGUUUUUAAUACAGUCUAGAGUCUUUCAGACUGGGUGAAAGAUGUAGUUAAUCAAUAAAUACACAGCAAUCCAUAUUUUCCUUUUGUGCUAUUCAGUGGCCCAGUGCUGUCAGUGGUUUUGAUACUUUCCAAGCAAAUCAAACCCACUGAUCUGUGCAUGGAGCCUGCCAACUUAUGCAUCAGCUUUGGCAACUGGAAGGCCAGCAUUUGUAUUUAUCCCUUUAUUCAGCUCUCCAAGGAAAAUCUGCAGUUAAGACUUGUUUGAUCUCAAAAGGAAGGCACUGCUAAUGUUUUCACAGUGUUUUGCUUUUAAUUUCAAACCUCUAAUCACAGGAAGAAUUGAUCCUGCAGUUGUUGAGGCAAAUCUCUCCAUCUCCCUCAUGAAUAUUCUUCCAGGAUGGGAUCAUUUUGCAUCGUUUCGAAGGUGUUUGUUUUCUUUUCAGCUGAAUAAGGGCAGAAAUUAUAAUCUCCGAUAGCUUCUCACGAGUUUGAAGGCCUUGCACACAUCGCUGGGCAGUUAAGGUUGAAUCUGUCUCUAACACCAGGAGGAUUUUUGCAUGAGAAAUUGUUUCUUACACAAAACUACAGUAUUACUGGCACUGGUGAUGAGAACAUUGCUUGGUAAAAAGGUUCUUUGACGAUUUGUGGGGAGUAGCAUUAUCAGGUAAAUCACAGUUCUCUGCUCCUGACUACAAAUUCUGUGCUACCUGCUUUAGUCUAAGGGCUGGAGGCGGCGUGCAGAUAUUGUCCUGUCUUCAUAGGUGUUUUAGGGAUCAUGAAGAGACCACAACUAACUUCUGGGAAGCUUGGUUUGAUCCUGGAGUGCCCAGCUAACAGCAGAGUGUCUGGUGUUACUCAGAGUACUUUCAAAACUGCUGUAUGGUCAGGAAGAAAUGGUCUAAAUGUUCGUAAGUCUCACCAGGGGAAAAUGGGAGUUCAUUUGUUCAUUCAUUCUACAUACAAUUUAUUUUCUGGACACUUCUGAACAAGGGCUCAGGCAGAGCACAACCUAGUGGACGAGAUUGUCAGAAGACAGUCUCAUCACAGUUUGCAGAAAGCAGGUCUUACCAGUAACAGUGUUAGAGAUACUGUGUCUCCUCCUUUUCAAAAUCACAUUAACGCCUUCACUCGUUCCAGACACCAUGCUAAAAUUUUAUCACUUGCAAUAUUUAGCAGGGUAUGUUUCAUACAGGUACCCGUGUUCAAGAACUUUUUGCAUGCUUGUGAAGAAAAUAAAAGGGGUAGGUAAUUGUGUACAAACCGCUGCAAAUAAUGAGGGAAAUUCUCCCUUUCCUGAUGUUUCCAGAUCCAGAAUUCUUCUGCUGGAAUCCCAGCUGUCUCACAGUAUUUUGGUCAUGCUAAAUCCCAGCCAGAAAUCUCGAUCUUUAGGGAAGUCUGUAUCUACCUUCAACCUUUACUGUUAAUGACUAGUAUCAACAUCACGCCGGUUGACCUUGUUUUUCGCUUCAAGUCUGCAGGUACUUGCUUCUUACCUUGCUCUUAAAGGCCUGGGCCCAUCCCUAGUUUACAAUCCCCCUUAAAACUUUAUUAUCCAAAUAAAUUCUGAAAUGUUUUUACUGGACUUUGAACUUUUCUUCUGACAAGUAACUUCUAUUUUCACAUUUGGAAAUGAACUCUUGAGGUCAGUUUGUGCACAUGAAUGUUAUCCUAGAUCUAGGAGCCAGCAAGCCUCUUAAGAACUGGUGUGCCUUGUAAUUAAAAUAUAUAUAAAAACAGGUUUUCCAUUUCUGAGCUUGCUGAACCUUUAUAUCUGAUCUGACACCUUCCUAAUCUGCAAGAAAAUCAAUUUUUGUUUCAUUUUUCAUGACACGCACUUCGGCUGUAUGUUAGAGAAGCAAGAACUACUGCUGUAACCUGCUUGUGACAUUUUUAUGGAUAUAGAUUGGGCGGGGGGGGGGGAGGAAGAGUUCCUUAGAAAAUGACAGCUGUACCACCAAAAUUGCUUCUCUGUCUGGAAAAGAAUAUUGCAUUACUUAAAAGCAGAUCUGUGCGGGAUUUGCAUUAGAAUCUACAAAAGACCAAAAGCAAAACUGUUCCAGCAACUUGAAUAGCUUCUUGCAGAUUUUUAGAUUCCUGAAGUUUUUAUUUGAAGUGCUAAUGCUAUGUUUUCCUUUUGAAGAAGGAUGCUAUGAAAUGUUAGAGGCCUAAUAAAAGUCAAUAAAAGACUAACAAAUGUCC